rnacentral:rRNA from 1 species
CCUACGGGUGGCAGCAGUGAGGAAUAUUGGUCAAUGGCCGGAAGGCUGAACCAGCCAAGCCGCGUGAAGGACGAAUGUGCCAAGCGUUGUAAACUUCUUUUGUCAAGGGACAAAAUCAGGCUCGAGAGCCUGACCGAGGGUACUUGAAGAAUAAGCAUCGGCUAACUCCGUGCCAGCAGCCGCGGUAAUACGGAGGAUGCGAGCGUUAUCCGGAUUUAUUGGGUUUAAAGGGAGCGUAGGGGGACUGUUAAGUCAGCGGUAAAAGUUUGGGGCUCAACCCCGGCGAGCCGUUGAAACUGGCUGUCUUGAGAUGUCGAGAGGUAUGCGGAAUGCGUAGUGUAGCGGUGAAAUGCUUAGAUAUUGCGAAGAACUCCGAUUGCGAAGGCAGCAUACCGGCGGCGCUCUGACGUUGAGGCACGAAAGCGUGGGUAUCGAACAGGAUUAGAUACCCUAGUAGUC